rnacentral:rRNA from 1 species
AUUGAACGCUGGCGGCAUGCUUUAUACAUGCAAGUCGAACGAGUGGCGCACGGGUGAGUAAUACAUCGGAACGUGUCCUAUCGUAGGGGAUAACUGAUCGAAAGAUCAGCUAAUACCGCAUAUGAUUGGAGCGGCCGAUUCCCGAUUAGCUAGGUGGUGAGGUAAAGGCUCACCAAGGCGACGAUCGGUAGCUGGUCUGAGAGGCCGACCAGCCACACUGGGACUGAGACACGGCCCAGACUCCUACGGGAGGCAGCAGUGGGGAAUAUUGCACAAUGGGCGCAAGCCUGAUGCAGCCAUGCCGCGUGUAUGAAGAAGGCCUUAGGGUUGUAAAGUACGUUCAGCGGGGAGGCGUUACCCACAGAAGAAGCACCGGCUAACUACGUGCCAGCAGCCGCGGUAAUAC